CAUUUUGUCUACAAGUUAUUACACCUGAAAACGUGGACCCUCAUUGUGUAACCAUGAGAAAGUGAUUUAAACUCUCAAGGUUAAUUCUCUUAGUGCCCCACCUGGAUCCUCUUUACAGGCAGUGCGCCCACCCCCUGGCUGCUGUUUGUGUUGCCUGAUGACAAUUCACAGCUGCCCCUACUCCUGAAAAUAGUCCUCAGCCAAAUAGAAGUCUCCUUGCCCAGGAGGCAACACCCGCUACUGCCCAGGGCAGAUCUCAGCCAAUGGCAGCAGACUUAAUGGGACAAAAAGCUGGCCCCCUUGCCUGAAGCUGGGCUUAGUUUUACGGUGAAACUCCAGCCUCUCUGUGGAAUCAAACUGAAACUAAUCUUUAGCAGUCUUGUUGCUCAGGAACCAAACUUUAAGACAGCUGGCAUCAGAAAUGGUCUCAGGAAGCUGACUCUGAGGAUGGGAUUCUGGAGUUGGCUUGCUUGCUGGCUGGAUGGCAAUGAAGACCCCAUAGCUGAAGUGCCUAUUACGUACUGGCCAACUGGAAUGAGAGUUCGAAGAAGCCAUUCCACAGCUGUGUGUAUCUAGGAUGAAGGAGGAGCCUGUCAGAGGAGAAGGCAAUGUGAUGCUAGAAGCAGAGGUUGGAGGGGAUACACUUUGAAGAUGGAGGAAGGGGCCACAAGCCAAGGGAUACAGGCAGCCACUAGAAGCUAAAAAAGGCAAGGAAGUGAAUUCUCCCUUAGAGACUCCAGAAGGAACCAGCCCUGCUAACACCUUGACUUUGGCCCAUCGAAACUGGUUUUUGGACUUUUGACCUCCAGAACUAUCAAGACUAAAUUUAUAUUAUUUUAAGGCACUAGUUUGUAGAAUUUGUUGCAGGAGCAAAAGGAAACUAAUAUACCAUCUCAACUCAUUUAAUGCUGACUAGUUGGAAACCACAGAUUGAUAUGUCAGUGAGACACACCAUCCAGUCUCAAAUCAUGUCUAUCCCUCUCCUGAAUGGAUUUCUCAGUUCUGUCCACUUUUUCCAUCUCUGCUGUUGCUGUCCUAGCCCAGGCCCCUCUCACCUGCUCUACUAUAAUGGAUUUCUCCCCUUCAAAUCCCAUUCUCUUUCUUUUAGCCAAAGUGGUUAUGUUUUGUUUUGUUUUUACAAAUCAGACCAUGUCAUUCCUCUGCUUCAGACCGACCUAGUGGCUGCUCACUGCCCUCAGGAUAAAGCCUCAGGGAUAAACAGAGUCACUAGGUUGAAAGGCUCCUCACUGCUUGCAGACGCUCUGGGAAACAGGCCCUGUUGGGCUCUACAGCACUCAGUUCAGGGGUUUAUGUGGGCUGGACUGUGUUAGGCUGGGGAGGGUGUGGGGUUGAGGGUGAUAAAUGGGGACUGUCCUCCAGCCUGAGGGUUCUGCUCUUCACAAGCUCUGUCACCAUAGUGUGACUUCAAAAUAAAUGAGGUGCGCUGGCGGAGACAUACCCUGUCACUUCUCCAGAUUCACCUACAUGGAGAACGGCUUCAGUGUCAUGUUUGUGAGCAGGAUCUAGAGGAGAUGGCUCAGCCUCCACAGGGUCUGCUGUGACCCUUGCUCACUCACAUUGUCAUCUUCAGCUGUGUACCCCCAGUGUGGGAAUAUGGUGGCCAGAAGCUUGUAUCUCUGGAUGUCUUGGAGAAUGUUAUUUCUCUGCAGUGUACACUGACUAUCCAGACAUUCUUCUUUAUCCUUUGGGUAAGCAAGCUCAGUUUGCCUUACUCAUGUGAUAUCUGUAUCUAGUCUUCUCAUGAUUUAAGACUUGCCAUUUGCCAACACAGUAGUCAUGUGAAGGCUAAGCUCUGAACGUGGUUUAUGAGCUCUCCCUUAAUGCUCCAGUUUAUCCCUUAAAAUGCUCUCUCAAAUCUCUGCUCUUGAACUAUAGCAAGCUACUUUCUCCCACGCCUCUACCUGGCGCUCUUUUCCCCAUCCUUGUGGCCCAGCUAACCUGUGUCACUCUUCAGCCUUCAGCCCAAAUAUCAGUUCUCCCAGGAAGCCAUUCCUGACUCCCCAAGUUACCCCUAGGGUUUCUACAGUACUUUGAAAGUUCCCCACCCUGACAAGAAUCACACUAUGGUGCAGUGGGUUUUUUUGUUGUCUGUAGCUUCCAUUAGGCUGUCAACAACUCAAGGCCACUACUUCACCUGGCUUGUUCACUAUUGAAGCCCUAGUGCUUGGCACCAUGGUACAUGAUUAAUACACUUAAUGAAUGAGUGAAUGGAUCCAUAAUACUAGCAAUCAUGUUUUACUGAAAGCCUGCUAUAUGAUAGGCACUACGCCAGGUACUCUGUGUGCGUAUAUAUAUGUGUGUGCGCACACACACAAGUGUACAAUCUCUAAUCCUAAGUACAACCAUGCAAGGCUGAUCUUGUUAUCCUAAUGCUAUAGUUGAGAAAACCAAGGGUUAGAGGCUAAGUCACAGAGCUGGGGUCACUAUUCGAUGCAUAGCUGGGAUUUGGAUCCAGGUCUACCUGUCGCUUUAUGUCAGCAUAUUUACUGAGCUGUAUUUA
ensembl:lncRNA